AGGAACACCAGUGGCGAAGGCGGCCUACUGGGCACUAACUGACGCUGAGGCUCGAAAGCAUGGGUAGCAAACAGGAUUAGAUACCCUGGUAGUCCAUGCCGUAAACGAUGAUUACUAGGUGUGGGGGGAUUGACCCCCUCCGUGCCGCAGUUAACACAAUAAGUAAUCCACCUGGGGAGUACGACCGCAAGGUUGAAACUCAAAGGAAUUGACGGGGGCCCGCACAAGCAGUGGAGUAUGUGGUUUAAUUCGAAGCAACGCGAAAAACCUUACCAGGUCUUGACAUCCGGCGCAUAGUGCAGAGAUGCAUGAAGUCCUACGGGACGCCGAGACAGGUGGUGCAUGGUUGUCGUCAGCUCGUGUCGUGAGAUGUUGGGUUAAGUCCCGCAACGAGCGCAACCCUUAUCGUCAGUUACUACGCAAGAGGACUCUGGCGAGACUGCCGUUGACAAAACGGAGGAAGGUGGGGAUGACGUCAAAUCAUCAUGCCCUUUAUGACCUGGGCUACACACGUACUACAAUGGCGCUCAACAAAGAGAAGCGAAGCCGCGAGGCGGAGCAAGCCUCAUAAACAGCGUCUCAGUUCAGAUUGCAGGCUGCAACUCGCCUGCAUGAAGUCGGAAUUGCUAGUAAUCGCGGAUCAGCAUGCCGCGGUGAAUACGUUCCCGGGCCUUGUACACACCGCCCGUCACACCAUGAGAGCCGGGGGGACCCGAAGUCCGUAGCCUAACCGCAAGGAGGGCGCGGCCGAAGGUAAAACUGGUAAUUGGGGUGAAGUCGUAACAAGGUAACCA
rnacentral:rRNA from 1 species